UCCUCUUUCUUCACAUUCAUGCCAG
rnacentral:misc_RNA from 1 species